UCAGAUUGAACGCUGGCGGCAUGCUUUACACAUGCAAGUCGAACGGCAGCACGAAAGAGCUUGCUCUUUUGGUGGCGAGUGGCGAACGGGUGAGUAAUACAUUGGAACGUACCGAGUAAUGGGGGAUAACUGUCCGAAAGGAUGGCUAAUACCGCAUACGCUCUGAGGAGGAAAGCGGGGGACCUUCGGGCCUCGCGUUAUUCGAGCGGCCAAUGUCUGAUUAGCUAGUUGGUGGGGUAAAGGCCUACCAAGGCGACGAUCAGUAGUGGGUCUGAGAGGAUGAUCCGCCACACUGGGACUGAGACACGGCCCAGACUCCUACGGGAGGCAGCAGUGGGGAAUUUUGGACAAUGGGCGAAAGCCUGAUCCAGCCAUGCCGCGUGUCUGAAGAAGGCCUUCGGGUUGUAAAGGACUUUUGUCAGGGAAGAAAGGGUU
rnacentral:rRNA from 1 species